UACGUAGGGUCCGAGCGUUGUCCGGAAUACUGGGCGUAAGCGCGUGCAGGCGGUUUUUCAAGUCAGUGGUGAAAGCCCGGAGCCUCAACUCCGGAACUGCCAUUGAAACUGUGAAACUUGAGGAUGAGAGAGGUGAGUGGAAUUCCCAGUGUAGAGGUGAAAUUCGUAGAUAUUGGGAAGAACACCCGGUGGGCGAAGGCGGCUCACUGGCUCAUUUCUGACGCUCAGGCGCGACAGCGUGGGGAUCAAACAGG
rnacentral:rRNA from 1 species